rnacentral:lncRNA from 1 species
GGGACCGUAUUUUUAAUCUUGUUUGCAAGGAAAGAAUACAACUUGGGCUCGAGCAACUCAUUUUUAGGCCUAAUUUUAGACCUAACCCACAAUUGUCAAGCACAUAAUUCCUAGGCCCAUACCCCUUAACCUAAAAACCCUACCAAAAACCUACAAUAUAAAAAAGAAGCCUAAGACUAAAAAGACGAAGAAAACAACGCUGAAAGAAGGCAGAAAAAAAGGGACGAAAAGCUGAAAAGCAAAAUCAGCGCAGCCUUUCACAAGGGACCCCCCCUGCCCAUCGUCUUCUCCAAACGACCAAAGCCCUACGCCGAAGAACCCAUCGUUGCUGCUUCCUCUUCCCCGAUUGACAAACCAGAAAAAUCAACCCACGACUCUUCCCCGUUUUGCUGUUGAGAAAUAGUAGGACGCACAUACAGACGGAACCAAAUCUGACCGAAAAUGUGUGAUUCCGACGACUUGUCAUAGAAUCCGGCGAACCGGGUUCGAACCCAGCGGUAAACCUAGCUCUAAAACUCCCUGAAAUUAACCCAAAUCAGUGCGAAAGUCAGCCCGAAAUCGCUGCCCAAAUCCAUGUCGAGUGAAUUUGUUCAGGUCGUCGUGUCCGGUCCGUCGAGGUGUUCGUUGAUACGUUGUCCGAGAUUUCGUCUGUUUUGAGUUUCUGUCAAGGUUGCAGUGUCGAUUUUUGUUUGUGUAAUCACUGGACACUUUGAGAUAUUGAAAAUUCAUCCUUCAGGUGCAAUUCUUCCUUCCUCUAAUAUUUCUUUAAUGGUGUGGUUGAAAUAUGAUAAGAAUUAUAGGGGAUUCCCAUCUAUAGUGAUCGGAAUUUGAUCUAAUUUUAAUAGAGUUUGGGUUUGGAGUUAGCUGCUAGUUGCGCUCAAAAGAGAUAUUUGUCGAUCUGUUUUUGUUAUCCGAUGUUCUCUCUUGCUGUUUGAUGUGUUUGAAUGUGAGUAAUUGAAAAAUAUGAAACGUUUAGGCGAAUAGCUUCAUUUUGGGUUCGACAGAGUUGCCUUCGAUUCAUUAAAUCUUUAUUUCAUCUGUCUUGGUUAGUUUCUUAAUAUCAAAUUUGUAGUAAAGUGAAUUUAUCAGUUGAAAAUUGAAAGCGUCCAAUAUUUAAUGACGGAGUAAUAAAUUAUUGAGUUACAGCAUUUAGCCUUUACUAUAGCACUAAUUUUACGAGCAUGUGUAUUUGCAAGACUUGUCUAGAAAAGCAUUUGAGGUAUAUAUAUACUGCACAUUGGAAAUAUGAAUUUGUACGGAGUUGGUUGGAUUCACUGUAUGCAUUGUUUGGUAGGAAGAAUGUUAUAUCUUUGUAAGAUUGUGAUGAAUAUUUGAUUGGGUCCUACUUGGAUUAUAAUGUUUGUAAGCAUCUGGCAUUUUAUUAAUCGAAUUGAACGCAUCUUGACUACUAUGGUUAUUCGUGCAAUCAAAUUGAGGAAAUCAAUAGCGUAACAUUGCAUUACUUACAAAAUUUAUGGCCCUCACGAGCUAGCUUAGAAAUCUCUUGAUUAGAAUAAAUCGAGGUGCGCCGUGUCAAACAAAAAUGACAAUUGCAUGGCCCUCGCUUAGUUAAUAUGUGAAUCCUUAGGAUUCGAGGUGUGUCAUUUAGUUGAAUUUCCAUUGCCCUCGCAAAGUUGAAAGUACUUAGUUGCUUUAGGCACGCUAUUUUAAAAUUACCUUCAUAAAAUCAGGUGUGCAUUUCAUGUGACACAAAUCAAAUCCCAAAACGUUGAAUAAAAUAUGUUUAGGAUUGCGGGUACAUUUCAUGUGGAGCGAUCCAAAGACAUGUUUUAAACGACGUUUAAUCUUCUUUAAAACGUAAAUAAAAGCGGUUGAAAAGUUAAAAUCGGUACAUAGGUUCAUAAUUGAUUAAAAUCAGAUAAUUAAGCAGAAUAUAAAAGUUAAGCGACCGUGCUAGAACCACGGAACUCGGGAAUGCCUAACACCUUCUCCCGAGUUAACAGAAUUCCUUACUCGGAUUUCUGGCUCGCGGAUUGUUAAAUAGAGUCAAGUUUUCCUCGAUUCGAGAUUCAACCGGUGGCUUGGGACACCAUAAAUCUCCCAAGUGGCGACUCUGAAUUUUAAUAAAGUAAAUCCCAUUUUGAUUGUCCUUUAAUUGGAAAAACUCCUUUAUGUCCUUUGCGAGGUGUAGUAAAAAAGGAGGUGUGACAGUCGUACUCAACAAAUAACACAUAGCAAAUAGGACGCAACUCCUAAUCCCUCAAGCUAAGGUUAGACCAAACACUUACCUCGAUGCCACGAACACAAUUCAAGUCUCAACUAUUGCUUUACCUCUUGAUUCCACCACCAAUUCGCUCGUAUAUAGCCACAAGUUACUUAAUUACGUUAGUAAAUGCUAAAUGGAUCAAUUCUUAUGCAUGAAAAUGCAUUUUCCCAAAGUUUUACCCAAAAAGUCAAAAUCGCCCCCGAGCCCACAUGGUCAAAAUCCGAGGUUCGGACCAAAACUCAUUACCCAUUCCCCCACGAACCCAAAUAUAUAAUUUGUUUUGAAAUCAGACCUCAAAUCGAGGUCCAAAUCCCCAAAAUUUGAAAAACCUAGGUUCUACCCAAAACACCCAAUUUCCCCCAUGGAAAUCAUUGAUUUUGAGUUGAAAUUAUGUAAAAAGAUGUUAAAGAUUGAAGAAAACUAGUUAUAAAUCACUAACAAUCGAUUUGGAGAAGAAGUUGUCUUUGAAAAUUUGCCAUAGAGUGUUUUGGUUUUGAAAGAGUGUGAAAAAUGGUUGAAAUGCGUCCAAGUUAUGAAUUUACAGGUUGCAGACUUCUGCUAAGCUCGCAUUUGCAAAGUCGCUUAUGCAAACAAUGUGUCACAUUUGCGACGACUGACUCAAAAGGGGAAACAUCGCAUUUGCGAUAAAUUCCUCGCAUUUGCGAGAUAGGCUAGCCUGGGCUAUUUUUCACAUUUGCGAUAUAGCCUUCGCAUUUGCGAGCCAGGCUUCGCAAAUGCGAAGCCUGCAAGCGUGCAAUAGAGCAGCUGGAACCUGCAAUCUCUCAAGUCCAAAAUCCACCCCGUGGCCUAUCCAAAACUCACCCGAGCCCUCGGGGCUCCAAACCAAACAUGCAUAUCAACUUAAAAAUAUCAUACGGACUCACUCGUGCAUUCAAAAUCACUAAAAUAACAUCAACAACUAUGUGUUUAGCAUCAAAAAUCAUGAAAUCACUUAAGAACUUCAAAGUUUUCAAUUUUCUCAAUUAUGGUCCUAUGAUGAGCCAAAAGGUCAUCACUUGUUUUAAAAGAGAAUUCUGUGUUCCGAGGCCUUAAAAACCACUUUCGGCAUCACCUCAAUUUGUAUGCGCAGUCCGGGCGCGUAGCCGGAAAGCCAUUUUGUGAAUACCUAUGAAAAAUGAUGAAUUUUGCAUUUAAAAUGAGUUUAAGUUGACUUCGGUCAAGAUUUUUGGUAAACGGACCCGGACCCAUAAUUGGACGGUCCCGAAGGGUCCGUAGGAAAAUAUGGGACUUGGGCGUAUGCCUGGAAUCGAAUUCCGAGGUCCCAAGCCCGAGAAAUGAAUUUUUAAAAAAAUUAUUUUCUGAAAUUAUUUAUGAAAUUUGGAAAUGAAUUUUUAUUAGAACUCGAUGGUAUCGGGCCCGUAUUUUGGUUCUGGCGCCCGGUACAGGUCUUAUAUGUUGUUUAAGAUAAGUCUGUAAAAUUUGGUAAGAAACGGACUUGAAACGACGUGAGUCGGAUCAUUUUUGAGAAAAUUGAAAAUUUGAAGUUCUUAAGAAAAUUCCAUGAUUUGAUGUUAAAUUCAUAGUUGGUGAUGUUAUUUUAGUGAUUUGAAUGCACGAGCGAGUCCGUAUAAUAUUUUUAGGUUGGUGUGCAUGCUUGGUUUGGAGCCCCGAGGGCUCGGGUGAGCUUUGGAUAGGUCACGGGGUGGAUUUUGGACUUGGUGAAUUGCAGGUUUUUAGCUGGUGUGUUCAGGCCUGCAGACUUUGCAUUUGCGAAGCCUGGCUCGCAAAUGCGAGGGCCUUGUCGCAAUUGUGAAAGCAGCCCAGGCCAUCCCAUCUCGCAAUUGCGAGGUUUUUGAUCGCAAAUGCGAUUUCCCCCAGCUUCAGCCAGCAGUCGCAAAUGCGUCACAGUAGUCGCAAUUCCCAUCUCGCAAAUGUCAACAUAACAGAGGUCGGGGUUCGCAAUUCCCAUAUCUGCAACCAGCAAUUUUUAUACUUAGCCGAAAAUCAAUCAUUUUUCACAUCUUUUCAAAACAUAAACUCCCUAGGGAGAUUUUUCAAGAACAACUCUUCUUCCAAAUCGAUUGUAAGCCAAUUUUAAUUCGUUUCCUUCAAUCAUUAACAUCUUUUAACAUGAUUUCAACUUAAAAUCAAUAAUUUUUAUGGGGGAAAUUGGGUGUUUUGGGUAAAACCUAGGUUUUUCUAAAAUUGGGAAUUUGGACCUCUAUUUGAGGUCCAAUUUCAAAAUAAACUAUAUAUUUGGGUUCGUGGGGGAAUGGGUAAUCGGGUUUUGGUUCGAACCUCAAUUUUGACCAUGUGGGCCCGGGGGCGAUUUUUGACUUUUUGAGUAAAACUUUAGAAAACUUAUUUUUAUGCAUUGGAGUUGAUUCAUUUAGCGUUUAUUGAUGUAAUUAAGUAACUUGUGACUAGAUACGAGCGAAUUGGUGGUGGAAUCAAGGGGUAAAGCUAUAAUUGAGACGUGAAUUUUGUUCGUGGUAUCGAGGUAAGUGUUUGGUCUAACCUUAGCUUGAGGGAUUAGGAGUCGAGUCCUAUUUGCUACGUGGUGUUUGUUGAGUACGACGUAUAGGCAUGGUGACGAGUAUCUAUACGUUAGUGUCAAGCAUGCCAGUGAGUCUUAUAUUAUGAUUUUUAUGACUUCGUUGUAUCGUUCAUGCUUUGGUGAUGAUUUCCAUUGUUGGCAAAGUUUGUGGAAGUAAUUGUGGCGUUUGAAUAUUGAGGAGUGUUGGCUCAAGUCGUAUAAUGAAAUGUGAAAGUGUAAGAGGUAAAUUGAACCCUAUUAGAGCACUGGCUCAAGUCGUAAAUUGAGUUGUAAAGUGAAAGUGAAAAAGAGAAAAGAAUGUCUCCCUUGCCGGGAUAUUGUUGUUGUUUUGAUGUUGUCCCUCGCCGGGACUUGUUGUUGAAUUAUUGUUCCCUUGCCGGGAUUCUUAUUGUAGUUUCAUUUAUUUCUUUGCCUUAUUGUUUGUGAUUGUUGUUUGGGUGAGGAAGAGUGUUAAAGCACGAAGGGUGAUGCGUGUAUUAUUUUGGUGAGAGAGUGUUAAAGCACGAAGGGUGAUGCCGUGUAUGAUUUGUGAGGAAAGAAUGUAAAGCACGAAGGGUGAUGCUGUGCCGCACAAUGUACCAUUCCGUGCCGAUUAUACGGAUUAUAUGGUGAGGACGAGAGUAACAACACGAAGGGUGAUGUCGUGCACAUUUUCAUUACUUGAUUGCUUUGGUGAAGACGAGAGUAAAAGCACGGAGGGUGAUGUCGUGCACUUAUUGAUUUAUGAUUCUUUGCUAAUGUGUGAGAUAUGUCGUUUCUUUCAAUUACCUGUUGUCUUUCUAUUCUAAAUUGAUAGCUCCCCCGCAGCAUGUUACCCCUCCCAUACUUGUCUAUAUAUUAUUAUUCUUCUUUUCCGUUGUAUAUAGUUGAAUUGCACAGGUUUAUUUGGUAGUCUGGUCCUAGCCUCGUCACAACUUCGCCGAGGUUAGGCUAGGCACUUACCAGCACAUGAGGUCGGUUGUGCUGAUACUACACUCUGCACUAUGUGCAGAUCCCGGAGCAGCAACAUUUGGACUGUAGAUUGGGUGGCUACCUUCAGUCCACGCGGAGAUCCAAGGUAGACCUGCAGGCGUCCGCAGACCCUGGCGUCUCCCUCUAUCCCUUUAUUCCUGUUUCAUUUCCUUAAUUCAGAAACAGUAUAUUGUUUAUUUUCGGACUUUGUAUGUAGCAUUCUUAGAUCGUCUGUGGUACUAUGACACCAGUUCUGGGUGGUCGAGGUUCAAACAAUUGUAUUAGACAUAUAUAUUCAGAUAAUUUACUGCAUUUCUUCCGCU